rnacentral:ncRNA from 1 species
ACGUGAGGAGGCGUCUGGAGGAAGGCGAAGGCAAACUGCUGGCCUGACGUACAGGAAGCUCAUAAGUCUGCCGCGUGUUGAUGAGACCGCCAAACAGGUCAAAGUCGCAUAGCUGCACGGAGCACACGGCAGUAGAUGAGACAGGCAUAAGCAGGAAAGAG